rnacentral:rRNA from 1 species
UACGGGGGGGGCAAGCGUUGUUCGGAAUUACUGGGCGUAAAGGGUGCGUAGGCGGUUUGAUAAGUCUGAUGUGAAAUCUAUGGGCUCAACCCAUAGCCUGCAUUAGAAACUGUCGGGCUUGAGUAUGGGAGAGGUGAGUGGAAUUUCCGGUGUAGCGGUGAAAUGCGUAGAUAUCGGAAGGAACACCUGUGGCGAAAGCGGCUCACUGGACCAUUACUGACGCUGAUGCACGAAAGCUAGGGGAGCAAACAGG